rnacentral:rRNA from 1 species
GAUGAACGCUGGCGGCGUGCCUAAUACAUGCAAGUCGAGCGAACAGACGAGGAGCUUGCUCCUCUGACGUUAGCGGCGGACGGGUGAGUAACACGUGGAUAACCUACCUAUAAGACUGGGAUAACUUCGGGAAACCGGAGCUAAUACCGGAUAAUAUAUUGAACCGCAUGGUUCAAUAGUGAAAGACGGUUUUGCUGUCUCUUAUAGCUGGAUCCGCGCCGCAUUAGCUAGUUGGUAAGGUAACGGCUUACCAAGGCAACGAUGCGUAGCCGACCUGAGAGGGUGAUCGGCCACACUGGAACUGAGACACGGUCCAGACUCCUACGGGAGGCAGCAGUAGGGAAUCUUCCGCAAUGGGCGAAAGCUUGACGGAGCAACGCCGCGUGAGUGAUGAAGGUCUUCGGAUCGUAAAACUCUGUUAUUAGGGAAGAACAAAUGUGUAAGUAACUAUGCACGUCUUGACGGUACCUAAUCAGAAAGCCACGGCUAACUACGUG